UAUUGAAUUUUGAUUUGUCAAGGUUUUGUCAGUUUGUUAUCAGUUUGUUAAAAUCCUCUUAGAGGACAUGAGUGGUUCUUCCCUUCCAGUUUAACCUUUGACUGUGUGAUUGAAUUACGGAGCUUUUAUCAAGGUUUUGCCUCUCCUGAAACAACGCUCCAUGUGUAACCUGUCCCUCCCCGAGCCGGACUGCAGGAUGAUUUUUCCUUCAACACACUGGUCCCGCCCACUGGCCUAUGGCAGAAGCCAGAAAAAGCGACGAUAAGAAAGGGAGGCCCCCAUCAGGGGACUUAGAGGCAGUGUUCCUGUUAUCUGCUUAGAUCCCAAGAAUGGACAGGAAGAAACUGAAAGCUGGAAUUCAUAACCAUUCCCUUACUCAAGUCUUUACAGGCUGUGCAGUAUACCCAAAAAGCCACCCAUAAGCUUGUUCCUGUACAACCCUUCCAGCCCAAGGACUCGGUAUAGGUAAAGAAGUUCACUGCCCAAGGACUCACCCCAACCUGGAAGGGAUGCUACACUGUUAUCCUGAGCACGCCCACGGCUGUUGAAGUAGACGGCGUCCAGACCUGGCUACACCACUCCCAGCUCCUGCACCAGGAAACGGCCUAGAUCCUGGCAACCAGCGGCCUCACCCAUGAGAUCCCUAGCCUGGGCUCCACGCAGGCCAGGAGGAAACUCAACACCUGCAGGAGAAGAACUGGAAUUCACUGUGGACAGUACUGUUGGGGACUGUAGUACUAAAGGCCUUAACCAGAAGUAAAAGACAAAGUAAAAAUGCAAA